GGUAAGUACUCUACCUCAUCUUCCAAAUCCAACACUAAACAAAAAUUGCAACCCACAAAACAUUUCAAUCAAGGCCCGAGAAAGGCCUCUCAUUCUUGUAGAUGUGAAGGAACACAAACAGCGUUCAGAAAGUUUUUCUUUUAAAGCAGGUUUGAUCUCGAGAGAAAUACUCCAUUUAUUGCUUGUUAAGUUUUUUAUUUAAUUUUUAAAUGAAGAAAAUAUUAAGGACAAAAGAAAAUUGCAUUUUUUUCCCUUAGAUUAGUU
rnacentral:misc_RNA from 1 species